rnacentral:misc_RNA from 1 species
GUGAAUCAUCAAAUUUUUGAACGCAAAUUGCACUCUCUUCGGAGAGUAUGCCUGUUUGAGGGUCAGACUAAAAAAAUUUGUCAUAGUUGUUGUUACGCGGUAACAUUCGUCGGUAAUUGGGUCAUAUUAAACCUUAGGGUUUAUGCGGUUUAAAAUUUUCUUUACGAAUCAGAGAAUGUUUCUAAGAUUUUAUUUUCUUAUACGUUUAAGGUAUUGAUCUUUAUUAGAUGUGGCCGUUGCUUCGGUUCUCGUCU